rnacentral:misc_RNA from 1 species
UCCGAGUUGACCCCGGCAGUCUCCUGCGAGUCCCCGCCAUUACGCGCUGGCAACAUAGAACGAGGGUUGCGCUCGUUGCGGGACUUAACCCAACAUCUCACGACACGAGCUGACGACAACCAUGCACCACCUGUGAACCGACCCCAAAGGGGGAACCACAUUUCUGCGGCGGUCCGGUCCAUGUCAAGCCUUGGUAAGGUUCUUCGCGUUGCAUCGAAUUAAUCCGCAUGCUCCGCCGCUUGUGCGGGCCCCCGUCAAUUCCUUUGAGUUUUAGCCUUGCGGCCGUACUCCCCAGGCGGAGAACUUAGCGCGUUAGCUACGACACUGGAGGGCUUACCCCUUCAACGUCUAGUUCUCAUCGUUUAUGGCGUGGACUAC